UUAGGCCGUUUACAACUAUAAAAUUAUAAAAUCUCGUCGGCCAGCUAGACAUACGAAAGAUAUCAAUCCCUCCGAAUUUGCCUUAAAAUGGUUGCAGGGCUACGCCUCGUGAACGUGUAACCUUCUGGCUGGUGUCACAGAGGGUUUUUAAUAGUUCCAACUCAAAUUCAGUAACCUGGCUUUGAUAAAAUACCACUUCUCAGUACUGCAGCUAAAUGCCUCAAGAGAGCUUUACAUU